GAGCAACGGAUGUCAGCGCCAUCUUGUAUCGGCGACUGUGAGGGCGGCUCCUCACACAAUGGACCUAAAUUGCCCCCCUUUCAGGUAACCCAGUUGAUCCAUGGCUGCUGGACAGCUACAAAUUGCAGCUGAAUGAGGGCACUAAAAUCAGGGGGUCCCACUGAGAAAUGCUCUCUUGAGUGGAGCUCCACAGAAAACAGAAGAAAAGUAACAGUAUCCUGCAUGGUGAAUAAUCUCUGCAACUGUGAUUACUGGAUUCAGCAAGUGACAAGAUUCCUUUUCUCUUGAAAUUACAGCUAGAAAAGAUAAGAAUUUUUGUUUGGUCUUAAUAUACAAGAUAUUUUUAGUCACUUCAUUUUUGUUUCUGCCUGGUUUGAAAGGUGCUUUCCUGGGGGAAGGACAAUAGGACACUCAAUCAUCAUGCAAUCAGACAUACCUCCCAGAGACUGCCAAACAGCUUCCAGACUAACCUCUGUGCAGUGCUUAGCCUUACAACUCUACGGAGCGAUGGCUUCAUUGUUCAUUCUUCAUGGCAACAAGCCAAAUCUGAGGUGACUGCCCUGCUUCUACUGUGGCAAAUGCUUGCACCACCACGGCGGCAGUGCAGACCUGGGCAUUCCGCAACUGACACAUACACCAUACACACAACACACAUGGCAAAACAAGGGCCACAGCGGGGGCACCUAUUCCAGCCCAUUCUUUCCGGAUGCUAAGUCAGGAUCCACUUGGGUAGAAUUCACAGUGACAAUCACCGAGCGAAGCUCAUUCAUCUUGCCAUCAAAAUUUGCAGUCCAAUUUUAACACCGACAGUAUCCCCCAUCUGGGUUCCGCACCCAUCAGGGGCAGACACAUGCUCAUCACCAGCAAGAUCAGCUUCUUCAUUUUGACAGCAUCGCACUAGCCGCUCCGGAACCCACACUGGCUCUGCGCUAUUCUGUGGAAACAUGCAAACAGAUCCUCUCACCCAGGCCAACACGGGAUCCGGACCAUUCCAUGGUCCUGUAAGCACAUCCUUCCAUUUAGCAUACCCCAGUUUACUGGGGCUGGUAUUAGCAUGUCGUUCAGCAGCAGAGCGACCUUCCUUAUCCAAUUGCAAAAAGUUUAAGGUAAAAAGAGCUAAGGAGAGUCUUAUUUUGGGGGUAUGGCCAUAGCCUAUUACCCCUUUUUGUUUUGUUAAUAAUUCUUUUAAGGUUCUAUGUGCUCGUUCAAUGAUUCCUUGGCCUUGAGGAUUAUAUGGCAGGCCGUGUUUAACUUGUACUUCCAUCUGUUGACAAAAAGACACCAGGGUUUUGGUAGUAUAUGCAGGGCCAUUGUCUUUUUAAGUUGUUGGGGCUUACCCCAAGCUGCCCAGGCCUCCAAACAAUGCUGUAUAACACGGGAGGCCUUUUCCCCUGCCAUGGAGAUGCAUAAACUAUUCCUGAACAUGUGUCAAUGGAUACAUGAAUGUAUUUCAAUUUUCCAAAUUCUGAAAAGUGUGUCACAUCCAUCUGCCACACCUGUAGAGGGAGCAAUCCUCUAGGAUUCACUCCAUAAGAAGGUGGGUGUUGAAACUCUUAGGCAACAUCCACAGAUAGUGACUACAUCCCAAGCUUGUGCUCUAGAGAUCCCAAAUUUUCUCUGCAGAGUUUUAGCAUUAACAUGAAAUUUAGAAUGAAAUUGUGAGGCUAACUCCAUAGGGGAUGCUAAAAAUAUGAACUCCAUACGAGUACAAUUAUCCACAAUAUCAUUUCCCCUACUUAAAGGUGCUGGAAGCCCACUAUGGGCACGGACAUGUCCAAUAUAUAAUGGUUGGCAACUUUCCCACAGCAACUUCUGUAAUUGUAAGGCCAAGGCUUGGACGGUACUAUGAGCUUUUAUUUGGCCAGCCACUUCUAGGGAUAAAACUAUAUUAACUACAUAUUGUGAAUCUGAAAUUAGAUUAAAAGGAAAAUCAAAAUCC
rnacentral:lncRNA from 1 species